UCUAUGAGGAGUUUUGGACGCGGGUCAAAUUCCUUAAAAUCAACUGAAACUAUGAGGCUUAUGCUCUCUGUAUGCUGCGGAAUCAUUUUUGGAUUAAUCAUUGGAAUUUCAUUUCCUUCUAGCUCAUUAACCAAGCUAAACAUAACAUCCAGUAUUAUAAGCAACUUCCCUAUUGCUAGAGACAGAAAUAAUGUUGUUUCAGACGAAAAGCCUGCAGAUCCUUCGAUCAAAACUCAGAAUGCUACAGAUCAGUUGAAGAUUUGGGUCCCAUCAAACCCAAGAGGGGCAGAAAGAUUACCUCCAGG
rnacentral:misc_RNA from 1 species